rnacentral:rRNA from 1 species
CUACGGGUCGCAGCAGUGGGGAAUAUUGCACAAUGGAGGAAACUCUGAUGCAGCAACGCCGCGUGGAGGAUGACACUUUUCGGAGCGUAAACUCCUUUUAUAUAGGAAGAAGAUGACGGUACUAUAUGAAUAAGCGCCGGCUAACUCCGUGCCAGCAGCCGCGGUGAUACGGAGGGCGCAAGCGUUACUCGGAAUCACUGGGCGUAAAGAGCGUGUAGGCGGAUUAAAAAGUCAGAAGUGAAAUCCUAUAGCUUAACUAUAGAACUGCUUCUGAAACUCUUAAUCUAGAAUGUGGGAGAGGUAGAUGGAAUUUCUGGUGUAGGGGUAAAAUCCGUAGAGAUCAGAAGGAAUACCGAUUGCGAAGGCGAUCUACUGGAACAUUAUUGACGCUGAGACGCGAAAGCGUGGGGAGCAAACAGGAUUAGAUACCCGAGUAGUC